UCAGGUGAUGUUUUGGUGCUCUCUGUCCCU
rnacentral:piRNA from 1 species